GCGGAAUCGGAUGGGAUGGGCCUCUUUUUGUGUUCCUUACAGAAAAAUGUUUCGUGCUUCUGCAUGCCGUUUUAAAGUUAACAAAAACAUUGUGGCGGGUUUUAGCAGGUCAUCAGCUUUGGGAUUCAUCAGCCGGCUCAUCUCUGCACUAUGAAGAUGGGAACAGAUGGACAGGCUGAAAAGGACGAAGGAGAAAUUGUGGCAGGCAAGUCAGAAUCUGAACAAUGUCCUGAUGAAGAGGAGGAAAUGGAGUCUAAAGCAGACAGAAGGACAGGUGGCUUAAGAUGUUUCCAAGGAAACAGAGAGACCUCGGAGGAUGAGCCUAGUGAACUGGGGGCUGCUGUUAUUACUUCCUCUGAGCCUGUAUUUCUUGUGCCUCAGCUCAGCUCACAACCUCAGUACCUGGACUGUGACUUUGAUGUGGAGCUAACAGCAGAAGUGAUAGUCGAGAAUGGCGCAUCUCUUGCUUUGUUGACAUCUGUUACCCCAAAUCUUGGUUACCAGAAGCCAGG
ensembl:lncRNA